UCAGUUAGAAUACAUUGUAUAUAGAAAUUUCCACAACACGCCUCAACAAGCUACUUUAAAUAAUUUAGUUUUUAUCUUUCAUGUAACAUUUUAUGAACGGAAAACCUACCCUGAGUUCCCCAAUCCCGUAAAUGCUGUGCAAGGGCCUAACCCAGCUAAGGAGAAGCUUGGAGGCUGUCGAAAGUCGCCCAAAAAACGACGCAGAGUCUGUGUGCAGGAUGCCUCCUCCGGGUCCACCUCCAUACUGAUGCAAGAGAGAGUCUACAACAUGCUGUUGAAAGUGAGAGUCCUGAGCACCCCCCACUUCCUGGAUGCCAGCUGGAAAGGGAGUCCUGUCAGAGCACUGAAAAGGAGAAGGAAUUGGAAGCAGAAAACAACAACAUUAAAUUGCAAUUGUCAAGAAACUGAAUUAAAAAGCCUAAAAGCACAAAUUGGCCCCUUUAAAAAGAAAACUCUUAACACCUGAACUUCUUCAAAGCAGUGAAAUGCACAAGAUAUUGGAAUACAGUACAGGGUUUACAUAUGAACAAUUCAAUCAACUGUGCACAAUAUUUGACAUUCCAAAUGAUCCACACACCACUCAAAUAAAUGUACCCUUAAACUACAAGCACAAUGAUUGGCAAAUAGCAGAGAUGUCCUCCGUACCCAGUUGCUGUUUGUUUUAAUGAAACUCUGCAACAAUGAAGACUUAAAAAGCCUUGCCUUCAGAUUUGAUAUAAACAUGCAAGCAGCAAGUAAUAUUUUCAAUUCUUGGAUUCAUUAUGUUUGAUGUAUUAGGUGAAUUACCAAUUUGGCCUCACAGAGACGUCAUAACACAAAACAUGCCCGAAACUUACAAAGUAGACUACCUGACCACAUUUGCAAUAUUAGACUGCACAGAGCUAAAAAUUUAAAGGCCAAAGCCAGAGCUAUUCAUACUACAAAAUUACAAACACACUAAAAUCAUUAGUUGCCUGUGACCCUGUGGUGCUGUGAUUUUUUUCAUCUGCCCUGUUUACAGGAGCAAUGUCAGACAAGGAGCUAGUCAGGCAGUGUGGCAUCCUCCCGCUACUAGAGAAACGAAUAGACAGUGGCUAUUUGCAAAGAGGGGAUGGCAUUAUGGCUGAUAAGGGCUUUUUAAUCGAGGAAGAGAUGCAGGUACUUGGACUGAAGUUAAACCUGCCACCGUUUUCAAGGUCUAAGAGGCAAAUGCCAGCUGGGGAUGUGCUGGUGACAAAGCGCAUUGCAAAGCACAGGGUGCAUGUAG